rnacentral:lncRNA from 1 species
AUUAUUUUCUUUGGGCAAGCAAUCACAUCUCUGGUGAAGUAAAAGAUGACAAGUACUACCUCCAUAAAGAAAUAUAAGAGUGUUUAGAUUACUAAGUAGUGAUCUAAACACUCUUAUAUUUCUUUACGGAGUGAGCAUCACCUAGAGUAAUCGGCUCAUCAAGUUAACUGCAGCCAACUAAGCAGCAAUCAUCAUAAAAAAGCAGGGAUGAUUCAAAGUUCAAACCAACGGUCCCUAGAAAGAUAUCACAAGUUUGCAUUACCUCAUAGCAAGGUGCCCCAUCUGGCAACAAUCAAUCAAUACCGAUAGCACAAGUUCGCAUUACCUCAUACCUGGACCUACAUGAACUAUAGACCCAUCGCCCAUUCAGCAGUAAACCAAUAACUGUUUUGGGUAUGCUGUAGCAGAUAGGGGCAGCACAAAAUACAAACUAGAUUGAUAGUUUGCAAUCCUAGCCAGUGAAACAACCCCUGCGCAAGUAGAUUCCACCAAACGACAUCAUCUGCUUUGUGAAGGGUAGCGGGAACAAUGCCGACAUCCAAAGAUAAAUACUCUAUUGAUCGACAUGAAUCAUGUUUGUACCACCAAAUCAUGAUAUCCAAGUCAGAAUGCAGCCUCAAACGGUUCACUUGUUACGCUGAACGCAUCCAUUCUCGGUUAGGUACUCCACAAAUUCAUCAAUUAGGUAGGGCCAAGCACCUUCUUCGUCAUAGUUGGAUAACUGUGGAUCAAUUGUCUGCAAUAACACAACAGUGAAAUUGGUUAAGUUCACAAUUAUGAGCUCUUUCUACAUGCAAGUCAUAGUAAGAGCCAUCUUAGUCCCUUCCGGACAUCCAACAAAAAAUUGACACGUUUAACAAGAUACACGAUUAGUGAAGAACUGAAAAGAUAACAGAUUAUUGACGAAUCACUGAAGGCGACAGAUCACAAACUACCUAGAGACUACAACCUAGGCACACCAGUUAACCUGUCUCAUUUGCCCAAGCAAAGUUUAUUUGUCAUGCUGAUUAAGUGGGCAUACAAGUCCCGCAAAAUCUGGGCAUUCAUAUCUAUAUACCUAACAUUAAAGGGAGGAAUGUUUCUACCCAUCCAUCAUCAGAAUUGCUCUGAACUUUUUAAAAAUUACCUCUCAAUGUCACCCGUAAGCGGGAAAAAGCGGUUCAGAGCAACAUUCCUACGUUUUGUCAGCAGCUUGCAG